CCCUUAGAUGUUCUGGGCCGCACGCGUGCUACACUGAGUGGAUCAGCGGGUCAGGUUGCGCGAAAGCGUUUCCUAAUCUUUAAAUCCGCUCGUGAUGGGGAUUGACGGUUGCAAUUUUCUGUCAUGAACGAGGAAUACCUUGUAAGCGCGGGUCAUCAUCCCGCGCUGAAUACGUCCCUGCCCUUUGUACACACCGCCCGCCGCCCCUACCGAUUGAGUGGUCCGGUGAGGCUUUGGGAUCUGAGCGGAAAGAGCGUUUCGCUGUUUCUGCUCGGAAAACUCAGUCGAACCUUAUCAUUUAGAGGAAGGAGAAGUCGUAACA
rnacentral:rRNA from 1 species